rnacentral:rRNA from 1 species
GGUUGCGAUCAUACCAGCACUAAUGCACCUGAUCCCAUCAGAACUCCGCAGUUAAGCGUGCUUAGGCGAGAGUAGUACUAGGAUGGGUGACCCCCUGGGAAGUCCUCGUGUUGCAACCC